rnacentral:lncRNA from 1 species
GUCUCGCUGCAAGACUUCCUGCUGACAGCGAAGACAGGCCCACAAGAUAUCAUCCCCAGAAUGUGCCGCAGGAAAGAAGAUUAGCCCCUUGGCAGGGCUGCAAUCGAUCAUUCCAGGCUCUCGCUUCUCGACCCAGCUGUUGUCUGGUCCCUGGCUGAUGCCGCCAACUGCAUCAUCACCUGCUUGAUUCACUCUACAAAUAUCAUCUGAACAACAUCUAUGUCCAGGACACCUGUUCCAUGUGCUGUGACAGUUCUAGGCACACACAGGUAAUGGGAGUUCAAGUCUAGUAAGGGAAGAAGGGUUGGUUGCCUCAAGCUCAGUAUAUUUAAAACUAUAAAAGAAAUCCACAUGGAGUAGGGGGCUCAGAUAGUGGAGAGGCAAAGGUGGUCUUAUAGAUUCUCUGGUCUAGGUUCUGCCUGUCAAAUAAGUCCUGACUGCUUUGUCUAACAUAACCAGGGGCCAGGGUUGAGCAGCCCUCAGUGAGAGGGAAAAUCUAAGCAAUGUGUAUCCUGCUGUCUCCUUUCUAGAACGCUCGCCAGCUGGAUUUGCAACAUGCUGAUCCUGUCUUGUCUUCAUCCCUAUAAGGGAUAGGGGAGCGGGAAGGCAGAGAGCCCUUUUUUAUACUUUGUACCCGAGAUCUGGGUGCUAUGAUUCCUGAGCAUCUCUGAUCAUCAAUACGUUCUGAAGGGAGUGAAAAAGCUUUUAUGAGGUUAAGGUUGUUCCAUUUAUGUACACAAACCUACUUGAUGCUGCAUUUUUGACAUUAAUUACCAGACACACCAGAUAAAUUAGCUAUUUGAGAUCCACUUCUGGCUGCGCUAUCCAAAAUAGAUCCCCAAACUGACAAAGUUAUUUCAAGAAAACAAUAUACAAAAUUGUGUUGUGUGAUGACAUGUCUUAUGGUGCACCUAUAAUGCAUUUAUGUUUUUCUAUAAUGGCAUGUCAUUUUUAAAUGUCAUUACUUAGUGAGACUUAACACAAACAUUAGAAAUCUGUGGGUCCUCAUUGUUUCUCUUUAGCUGAAUUGUACCUCAAAAUCCCAAAACCCAGGAUCACUAC